AAGAUUUUAAGUUAAUUAAACUAUUAACUUUCAAAGUUAAAAUUAUUUUUUAAGUCUUA
rnacentral:tRNA from 1 species